rnacentral:lncRNA from 1 species
CGUGUCAGCGGCCAAGAGUGAGAGUUGCUGGCCGCACUCUGAGGCCACCAAAAAUUUGUCUGUGAGAACCUCUGGACUAGAUGCUCACGAUGGGCCCUUCUGACCUUAAAGUCUGUGAGUCUAGCAGAAGCUGGACACAGAGAGGAGAAGCGCAAGGAGGUCAGUUGAUCGCUAGGACCCAGGAGCAGCGAUCGCUGGGAUCAGUCCUGGCAGCAGGAAGUGACUCGCAGCCGCUGCGGUGACUCUGGCUCCAGGCUCCUGGCGAGAUCCCCGAGCCCCGGCGGCUGGUGCUGGGAGCCCGGAGCCCGGGCUGCAGCCGGGAGAGGGGAAUCUCCAGCAGGGCCCUUCCCACUGCUCCCCAGGAGCCUCUCCCAGGGCAGAGCCCCCAGCCUGCCCAGGGCCCCUUCCCGGCCGCGGUGGGGCCCCGCUCGGAGGGAAGGCUGAGGAAUCACAUCCAUGUUUCACUCCAGAUCGUCCCGUCUUCCAGGAGACAGGGCAGGGAAAUGGCUGUGAUGGAGCCAUCUCGGAUGCCCGUGACCUUCGAGGAUGUGGCUGUGUAUUUCACCCAUGGGCAGGGGGCUCUGCUGGACCCUGCUCAGAGAGCCCUCUACAGGGACGUCAUGCAGGAGAACUACGAGAUAGUGACCUCGCUGGGUAAGGGAUUCCUGGCCCUUGGUUAUUUGAAGCUGGAGGGAUCUGCGUGUCUGACACUGGUCAAGUUCUUCUCUCAUCACUCUCCAGUGAGACCAGGGAGUCAAACCCUAAGGCACAUACUAAAUCAUCCCCACCCAACCCCGCUAGCUUGCAAGGUGGAGAAGCCGUGUAUUCUGUGUUAUUUCUUGGUCGCAAACAGAGUCCCUCUUCUCCUUGGGAACAGCUCCAGCCCUGUGGAGGGCUCUGGGUUCUGCAGGUUUAGAAAUAGGCAGGGGUUUAACACUAGAGCUGGGUGUGCAUCACAGUUCCCCUCAGCUCCCCAGAUGUCUUCCUCCCCUGAGGGGGCUCAGUGACCACGUACCCGUCCUCUUAGAUUCCACAUUCCCCAGCACAGCACAGGGACAGGUUCCGCUCACAGAAUGUCCUUUCUGAGAGAUGCUUUCAGUCCUCCGCACACCCUGAUUUGGUCCGAUUUCACUCCCUGCACAAACAACAAGGAGUCUGGUGGCACCUUUAAAGACUAACAGAUUUAAUGGGCAUUACAUUCAUUACAGAAGCAGCUUUUCCUCUCCUGGAAUUGACACCUCCUCAUCUAUUAUUGGGAGAGGACUACAUCCACC